rnacentral:rRNA from 1 species
GACGAACGCUGGCGGCGUGCUUAACACAUGCAAGUCGAACGGUAAGGCCCUUCGGGGUACACGAGUGGCGAACGGGUGAGUAACACGUGGGUGAUCUGCCCUGCACUUCGGGAUAAGCCUGGGAAACUGGGUCUAAUACCGGAUAGGACCACUGCCUGCAUGGGUGGUGGUGGAAAGCUUUUGCGGUGUGGGAUGGGCCCGCGGCCUAUCAGCUUGUUGGUGGGGUGAUGGCCUACCAAGGCGACGACGGGUAGCCGGCCUGAGAGGGUGACCGGCCACACUGGUACGGAGAUACGGCCCAGACUCCUACGGGAGGCAGCAGUGGGGAAUAUUGCACGAUGGGCGCAAGCCUGAUGCAGCGACGCAGCGGGAGGGAUGACGGCCUUCGGGUUGUAAACCUCUUUCAGCACCGACGAAGCGCAAGUGACGGUAGGUGCAGAAGAAGGACCGGCCAACUACGUGCCAGCCGCCGCCGUAA